rnacentral:rRNA from 1 species
GGGGGGCAACUCCCUCCAGUCGAGUGGCGGACGGGUGAGUAACACGUGGGUAACCUGCCCGGAAGUGGGGAAUACCUCGGGGAAACUCGAGCUAAUACCGCAUGACAUCUUUGGGACGAGAGUCCUGACGAUCAAAGCGGGGUCGCAAGAUCUCGCGCUACCGGAUGGGCCCGCGCCCGAUUAGCUAGUUGGUGGGGUAACGGCUCACCAAGGCUUCGAUCGGUAACCGGCCUGAGAGGGCGAUCGGUCACACCGGAACUGAGACACGGUCCGGACUCCUACGGGAGGCAGCAGUGGGGAAUCUUGCGCAAUGGGCGAAAGCCUGACGCAGCAACGCCGCGUGGAGGAUGAAGGCCCUUGGGUUGUAAACUCCUGUCGGCUGGGAAGAAAUCGUGCGGUGCUCAUACCACCGUACGUUGACUGUACCAGCAAAGGAAGCCCCGGCUAACUCUGUGCCAGCAGCCGCGGUAAUACAGAGGGGGCCAGCGUUAUUCGGAAUUAUUGGGCGUAAAGGGCGCGUAGGCGGCCAUGCGUGUCUCCCGUGAAAUCCCUCGGCUUAACUGAGGACGUGCGGAAGAAACUGCAAGGCUCGAGUCCGGGAGAGGGGGGGUUGGAAUUCCCAGUGUAGCGGUGAAAUGCGUAGAUAUUGGGUGGAACACCGGUUGGCGAAGGCGGCCCCCUGGACCGGUACUGACGCUGAGGCGCGAAAGCGUGGGUAGCAAACGGGAUUAGAUACCCCGGUAGUCCACGCCGUAAGCGAUGGGCACUUGGUGUCGCGGGUAUCGACCCCUGCGGUGCCGAAGCU